GGUGUGUCAUGGUAUUAGCCCUUUUGUAACAUGUAGCUGAGAAUAGUUGAGGAAAACUCCAGUGUUUUUCAUCUUUUUCUUUCCAAGUGAAUCGGACUCUGGAAGUGAUCCGUCUUUCUUUGAUGCUGUGAAAGGUCUGAUUUACUCUGAAGUGGCAGUGGUGAUAUCCCAGAACGAAAGACACCCACGUUUCUUGAUUGAUCUUUUCCAACAGUUGAAACACCUAAACAACAACUAUCAGCGGGAGCGAGCUUUGACAGUCUUACGAGAUCUAGCGUUGUUAGGAAGAGUAGCAGAAACAGUUCCCAGUGAAACAAAGAAUAAGGAGGCACCGAGGAACUGGAAUUAUUCUCAAAACAAGUCAUUAUCACAA